GGGACUAUAUUUUCAGGGACCAUUUCUGUGGUUUGUCAUUAGACGAGUUCUUCUGGACACAUAGAGCACUGAAGCCAGGAUGAGGACGCUCAGCAUUCUCUCCUGAGCGUGAAGCCGGCUCUUGGUGUUGCUUUUGCAGCUGCCACUAGCCAUUGAUGACUGCUCUUCUCUCCCCUUGGGAGAGUAAGAGGGGGAGGACGUUUCUGA